ensembl:snRNA U6 U6 spliceosomal RNA
GUGCUCACUUUGGCAGCACAUAUGCUAAAAUUGGAAAGAUACAGAAAAGAUUAGCGUGUCCUCUGUGCCAGGAUGAUAUGCACAUACCUACUUCAAGAACCUGUUUAC